GGACGUAGUAACUCCACCUUACGUCUGAUUACUUCUUCAGGAGCCUCCCCAUGGCCAAUAACAACAGCUGUUUUUGCGUUAACAUCUUCUAUUUUCCUGGUGAUCAUCAUGAUCCUCAGUGUCCUCAUGAUCAG